GGGCGAUUGGCUCAGCUGGUUAGAGCGCUGCGUUCACAUCGCAGAGGUCGCUGGUUCGAAUCCAGCAUCGCCCACCG
rnacentral:tRNA from 1 species